CCUACGGGCGGCAGCAGUGGGGAAUAUUGGGCAAUGGGAGCAAUCCUGACCCAGCAACGCCGCGUGAGGGAAGAAGGCCCUCGGGUUGGAAACCUCUUUUAUUCGGGACGAAACAAAUGGCGGUACCGAAUGAAUAAGCCACGGCGAACUACGUGCCAGCAGCCGCGGUAAUACGUAGGUGGCAAGCGUUAUCCGGAUUUACUCGGUGUAAAGGGUGUGUGGGCGGGAGAGCAAGGCAGACGUGAAAUUCCAGGGCUCAACCCUCGAACUGCGUUUGAAACUGUUAGCCUUGAGUGAUGGAGAGGCAGGCGGAAUGCCGGGUGUAGCGGUGAAAUGCGUAGAUAUACGGAGGAACACCAGUGGCGAAGGCGGCCUGCUGGACAUUAACUGACGCUGAGGCGCGAAAGCGUGGGGAGCAAACAGGAUUAGAUACCCUUGUAGUC
rnacentral:rRNA from 1 species